CUGGGUGCCAUGUGCAUUUGUUUUGGGAGUGAUACUGAUCUAACUUAUGGAAAUAAUACUAGAUAGAAAGUUAGUGGAUGGAUUCUCUAUCUGAUGAGAGUUUUGGGUAAAACGAAUUCCUAGUUUCUGAGUCUUAUUUUUCCCCUGAUUCAAGAAAACUGUGAAUUACCCAGCCGGUGAAAAACUCGCACAGCUCUGGAUGUGAGUUUAGGACACUGGAUUUCUACCACUCACUUUCUUACUACUUUUCUUGUGCAAGGAUCAUGGCACAAGUUGCAGUUUCCACUCUGCCCAUUGAAGAUGAGGAGUCUGCUGAAGAUGAGGAGACAUUGGAGAGCAGGAUGGUGGUGACAUUCCUAAUGUCAGCUCUUGAGUCCACGAGUCUCUGUUUCACCCAAUCUGGAGUGCAAUGAUGCAGUCGUAGCUAACUGCAGCCUCAACCACCUGGGCUCAAGCAAUUCUCCCGCCUCAGCCUUCCAAGCAUCUGGGACUACAGGUGCACACCAUCCAUGCCCAGCUGAUUUUUGUAUUUUUUUUGUAGAGAUGGGAUCUUGUUAUAUUGCCGAGGCUGGUCUUGAACUCUGGGGCUAAAGGAAUCCUUUCACCAUAGCCUCUCAAGUAGCUGAAACUACAGAUGCAUACCACCAUGCCCAGCUAAUUUUCUCUUAUUUCUUUUUGUUGUUUAAUUGAGGGGGGGGGUCUCACUGUGUUUCCCAGGCUGGUCCUGAACUUCUGGCCUCAAGCAUUUCUCCUGCUUUGACCUCCUAAACUGUUGGGAUUAUGGUUGUGAGCCCCGGCCUCUGUGUCCAGCAAUCACAAGAGGUCUUUAUAAGUGAAAGAGGGAGGUAAGAGAGUCAGAAUUGAAGAUUUGAUGAUGUAAGCACAGGUAACAGAGGGAGAUUUGAAUAUGCUUUGCUUCUGGCUUUGGAGAUGCAGUUAGGGGCCAUGAGCCAAAGAAUAGGGGUGGCUUUCGGAACUGGGAAAGGCAAGGGAACACGUUCUCUCUGGAACCUCCAGA
rnacentral:lncRNA from 1 species